GCGCAUUGUCAUUCUAGGAAAUUCCCUCAAGUGGGGCUCCCGGUGACCCGCCCGCCAUGUGUCAGGCCACCUCGCCCCUGGAAAGCAGCUUUUUUCCAGAUUUGAUCAGAACAAGCUGCUUCUCUCCCCCUGGCCUUUCCCGGAAGGAGCCCACUUUCCCAACGCUUCCUGGGUUCACCUGAAUUCCUUACCAACAUGUAUUUCUUCCACUUUGUUAUUUUUGGAUUAAUGUAAAUGAAGUCUGUCUUGGGCUCUCUAAGAUAAAUGAAAGGGAUGCUAGGGUCAGAAGCUUCAGUGUUGGCUCUGCUGGAGAAAGAUUAAGGGCUGAACGCCUCGAGGGUGGAGAGGCACCGUCACCUUCUCAGCCUGGAGAGCUCUGUCCAGCUCUGCAGACGAGGCCCUGGAAGCUCACCUGAAGCCGACGAAGGGAGGAGGGAGUGGAGUGCCCACUGCCCGGGCUAGGGCAGCCAGACCCUGGCGGCUUCGUGGCAGCUGCUGUACUCAUUGCCAGCUUCAGGGCGGUGGGACCACGGAGGAAGAACGUGAACGCCUGGACUCCCACUUGGAAUCUGAAUGCAGUCCAGGGAUUUGGCAUUUGAGUCCCUAGAGCUCGUUGCUAGCCAUCCUCCUCCCCGGCGAGAAUAAUCCAUUUCAAACUUCUGAGCUGUCUAGACUUGUUAUCUGGCCCCCUAAUUCCUGAGAGCCUAGAGCGGGCAGCAGCGGGACCGCCGAGAUAGCAAGGGGGUGAGGUCAUUGGCGCGGUCCCGAGGCAGGAAGUCCAUUCCGGGGGACGAUGGAUGAGUGUGGAGCUGGUGCCCGAACGGGGCCAGAUAACGCGUCUAGACCCGGCAGGCCGUUUCCUCCUCUUCCCCGGUGUCCUAUCGGCAUCCUCCUGCCUUCCUGCUGCUCUUCCGAGCCUCUCUGGAGAAGCCUCUCAGGAGGUUUUACUUCAUUUUCAGUGUAAGGGGCGGCCGGUGUCUCUUGGCCUCGGCUAGGUGUGGGCGCGUUUUCUAAGUCACAGUGACGGUGGGGCCGGGAGGCCUUUCUGGAGAGGCCGUGCUGGCCUCUGUCACUUUGUCCUUUCAGAGAGUUCAGUGGGUUAGGGGAAAAAUGACGUUUUCUCUCCCUGGUCUCCAAAGGUCAGUGGAAGGCCAGUGGUGGGACUGGGAGGACAGGAGUUGAUGUCAAACAGACCCAGAAAUUUCCACAAGUCCUGGGGGACAAAAGAGCCUGGAGCAAGUCUUAUCUAAGACAGCCCCUGGGAGCCGCAGAAUGCCGAAUAAACUCGCCUUUCCGGAAGGAGUGGCUAAUUUCAUUGGCCCAUGUGCACUCUGGCUGAUCUUGAAUCCUGGGGCUAGGGUUGGACAAGAGGUCAAAAGGUCAUUUGGUUCAAUCCCCUGCCUCCAGGCAGGAUUCCCCCAGCAAAGAGGAAUCGUGUGUGUUCCAAUAUUCAAAGACACACGUGGGGGCUGCAGGAGAGGAAGUGGCCUCCGGAGCACCUGCGGGGGUGGAUGAAGUGGUAAUCCCCACCAGCUGUGCUGAGUCUCUGAGCCCCAAUAGUGCUGUGGGUUUGGAACAACUGCAUUGUGGGGAACAUCUGUGCAGAAGGGUACGGUGUGUCAGGAGGGCCACUGCCACCCCAAUGAUGAUGACAACGGUAAAAGCAAAAAUGAAUUGAGCACGCACUGAUGCCAGCUGAUGUCAAGUGGCUGGACAAAUGCUGGUGAAUCUCAUUUAAUCAUAAAAUAAACCUGGGCAGGGGCUGUCAUAAUUAUGCCCCAACUGAGGCUCAAAGGAAAGGUGUCUGCCGAAGGCACCUGGUUUGUAAGAAGUAGGGUGGGAAUGUGAGCCCAGGUGAGGCUGCUUUCAGAGCUCAGGAUGGAAUAGCUCAACUCUUCUGCCCUAAACACAUGUGUUCGAUUCAU
ensembl:lncRNA novel transcript